rnacentral:misc_RNA from 1 species
GUGGGAGCUGAGCUUGCUCGCGAUGGCGUCGUGUCAGUCAGUAAUUUUGCUGCUGACACGACGCCAUCGCGAGCAAGCUCAGCUCCCAC